AUUGAACGCUGGCGGCAGGCUUAACACAUGCAAGUCGAGCGGAGGGAGGUAGCUUGCUACUGAUCUUAGCGGCGGACGGGUGAGCAAUGCUUAGGAAUCUGCCUAUUAGUGGGGGACAACAUUUCGAAAGGAAUGCUAAUACCGCAUACGUCCUACGGGAGAAAGCAGGGGAUCUUCGGACCUUGCGCUAAUAGAUGAGCCUAAGUCGGAUUAGCUAGUUGGUGGGGUAAAGGCCUACCAAGGCGACGAUCUGUAGCGGGUCUGAGAGGAUGAUCCGCCACACUGGGACUGAGACACGGCCCAGACUCCUACGGGAGGCAGCAGUGGGGAAUAUUGGACAAUGGGCGGAAGCCUGAUCCAGCCAUGCCGCGUGUGUGAAGAAGGCCUUAUGGUUGUAAAGCACUUUAAGCGAGGAGGAGGCUACUUUAGUUAAUACCUAGAGAUAGUGGACGUUACUCGCAGAAUAAGCACCGGCUAACUCUGUGCCAGCCGCCGCAGUAAUAC
rnacentral:rRNA from 1 species